UCAGCUACUACUUAAUUUACACAUGCAAGNUCUCCGCACCCCUGUGAAAACGCCCUUGAACUUCUUUGAGAAAUGAGGAGCCGGUAUCAGGCUCAAAGAUUAGCCCAAGACACCUAGCUAUGCCACACCCACACGGGAAUUCAGCAGUGAUUAACAUUGAAAAUAAGCGACAGCUUGAAUCAGUUAAAGUAAAAAGAGCCGGCAAAUCUGGUGCCAGCCGCCGCGGUUACACCACGUGACUCAAACUGACCUCUUCCGGCGUAAAGCGUGAUUAAAGCCUNCUUUACCACUGCAAUUAAACCAGAGCUGAGCUGUGACACGCCUACUCCUGAGAACCCCAAAAACGAAAGUCAUUGCAANCCCCNAAUCUUGAACUCACGACAGCUAGAAAACAAACUGGGAUUAGAUACCCCACUAUGUCUAGCCGUAAANCUUUUAUUUACAUCUACACCGCCAGGGAACUACGAGCAAAGCUUAAAACCCAAGGGACUUGACGGUACCCCAUAUCCACCUAGAGGAGCCUGUCCUAUAAUCGAUAACCCCCGCUUAACCUCACCAUUUUUAGCAUAUCAGCCUGUAUACCUCCGUCGUCAGCUUACCACGUGAGCGCCAACUAGUGAGCUAAAUGCCCCUACGCCAGUACGUCAGGUCAAGGUGCAGCAUAUAAAAUGGGAAGAGAUGGGCUACACUGUC
rnacentral:rRNA from 1 species